rnacentral:lncRNA from 1 species
GAGAUCACCCUGGAGGAGAACUCCAAGGGUGGGCGGCUAAUGAGGGUUGGAGAAAGGUGGACCCAUGGGCGGUGGCUGCCCACGGCCUUUGAAGUUUCAUUUGCAGUGUUUUAUGAGCCCAUGCUGGAGUAAAUUGUACCUGCAGGCUGCUGCACUUUGCCCUCCCCAGCAAAAGGAGGUGGAAUUCACACUAGUAAUGUCUGGCUGGAGAACACCCUAGAUGAUGAAUCCAGUGAGGGUCAACAGCAGAGAGGAGCUGCCCAGCAGAGAGGAGCUGCCCACCACACCCUCCACCCCAUCUUCCUGAGCCUUCUGUGGAAGCACUGGUUUGCUAGCCUCUGAAGGGCCAUGGGCCCAGCACCAGGUGCCCUCAGCUCUGAGGCCAGGCCGUUACCUGCAUUCAAGAUGGACACUGGCUAGAGAAAGCAUGUCCACAGGGCUGGUCAGUAGGAAAGGGGUUGUGUUUCUGGAAGGGUGCAUCUAACCCAGGGGUUGGUGAGCAUUUUCCUAACCCAGGGCCAGGUAGUAAACAUUUUUGGCUUUGCCAGUCAUGCAGUCUCUGUCACAGCCACUGCACUCUACUACUUUAGCACAAAAGCAGCCAUAGGCAAUACAUUUAAAAAGACGAGCGUGACUGCGUUCCAAUAAAAUUUUAUUUAUAAAAAAC